AAGGACUUGGAGGCUUGUCCAGAAAGACCCCAGCAUUGGAAUCAGAUGGCCCCCUUUGACCUUGGGGUCUAUUUCCCAGAGUGAGAGAUUCUGGCAUAGAAACGGCAUGAGGGUCUGCAAGAAAGGAGAGGAGGCCAGUCCAGCAACAAGGAAAGACUUUAAUAGAGGGGCGAAGCAGAGUGGAAACUGACCAGAAUCUGUGUUUUUCCAGCCCCUGGAAUAUUGGCAUAUUGGACUUUGCACAAGCAUGGGACCUAACAGUGAGUAUUUCCUCUCUGUCUCUCCUGAGUAACACCCCCUGGUUUAUGCCUCUGAGUCCUACUCUCCACCUCAGUCUAUCCAUUUCCCUGAGACUCUGUAUCUGACCUCAUGUGCCCCUGUGCUGUGGCAGGGGCUGACUCUAAGAUUUCCCAUGGAGUAGCUUCUGAAUUUGCUCCCUGGAGAAGGUCCAGCUUACCUGCUGA